UCUGCCCUUAAAAGCACUGCAUGCGUAACUACUAUGUGACAUGUGGGUCAGUAGGUGUCAGGAGAGAAGCUAAGCCUAUACUCAGUGUUCUGACCUAUGAAGAUCUGAAAGAUGAGAAGCUUAACAUU